rnacentral:rRNA from 1 species
GGGUUCGGGGGGCCGGUUGGGGCGGCGGGUGGCGGGUGGGGCGCCCCGGUGUUGUAGGAAGGAGCGGUGUUGGGUGGUGGAAGGAGGGCGGCGGUGUGAUCCGAGGGUGUUAGCGGGGUGGAAGAAGAUUGGCGGCGGUACCUUGUGGUGGAGACGGGGCUAGGUGGAACCAGGACACGCGGCGGCAGCCGGCACCUAGGGCCCGCUGCGGAGGACAGAAACCUAGCGCUGGAGGCGGCGUCCCCAGGGGCUCACUUCUGCUCGUUCGGCACGUAGGGUCCGUGGCAGAGGAUGGAGACUAGGGCGGCCGGCGGUGGCCCCAGGGGCUGAUUUCCUACGUUUUGGUGAUCACGUCGCCCACUUUGUGCGAUUCUGUAACCUCCCCGCUUCGAGGGGCUGUCCACGGUCCAUUCAAAGUGGUCACCGGCUACGGUGCCAGUGGUCGGGGCACGUACCCCAGCGUGGCGGACAGGGAGGUAGACCACGAUCGUGGCUCCAGGGAAGAGAACUUAGACUGUUACUCAACCCUCUCCGGGUGGUUGUUCUCCUCGUGGUUCUCUGCCUAGGACAGUACGCCAGGGGCAGUUGGUAGCGGGGUCUCUCACGGUGGGGCUGUUCCCGGAGGUAGCUGCUAGGAUAAACGCGGCCAUGGUGGAGCGGGCACUCUAAUCAACUUCCAUCACGUGGCUGUUGUGUUCGAAGGAACCCUCCCUCACGGGGGGGGGGGUGUGUGUUGUUCAUGACUGUCCAUUAGGAGAGUAAUAAGGUGUGAAACGACCCUGAAAAUAAAAAGAACAGAACUUGAACGUUAAACUUGGAACAAAUAAAAAACUAGACUCGGGGUUAAAAGGGGCUUCCUUCACUGUGAUGAUGUCCUAUGAGGAUUACGCUGUGAUACUAAUCUCUGGGAAGCAGCUUUGAUACACGCUACGUUAUUAGUGUUUGCCACCACAUUUUUUGGGCAGUUUUUCCACGUUUUUCAAACACUACCUCCUACGUAGUUUGUGCCAAGUCUAAAACCAACGCACACGCUACGUCCCGUAUGUCAAGUCAAGUUAAUUGACAAACGCUACUACUCCUUGUUUUCUUUGCCCUUCGGUCUACUUCCACACACACUAUAUGUUGUAUGCCAAGUGAGCCUACUUGACAAACACUAAUCCGUUGUGUUUUCUUUGCCAGUCGGUCUAGUUCCACACACGUUAUAUACAGUACGCCAAGUUAGCCUA